AUACGUAGGUGGCAAGCGUUAUCCGGAAUUACUGGGCGUAAAGGGUGCGUAGGUGGCCUGACAAGUCAGGGGUCAAAGGCAACGGCUCAACCGUUGUAAGCCCUUGAAACUGUCGGGCUUGAGUGCAGGAGAGGAAAGUGGAAUUCCUAGUGUAGCGGUGAAAUGCGUAGAUAUUAGGAGGAACACCAGUGGCGAAGGCGGCUUUCUGGACUGUAACUGACACUGAGGCACGAAAGCGUGGGGAGC
rnacentral:rRNA from 1 species